rfam:Eimeria praecox, Houghton, WGS project CBTT01000000 data, contig: Eph_contig4578_1
CUUUAGGCUUCACUAGAAGCCACCAUUAUUAUUAUUAAUUUUAUU